UACAGAGGGGGCAAGCGUUGUUCGGAAUUACUGGGCGUAAAGGGCGCGUAGGCGGCCUUCUAAGUCGAACGUGAAAUCCCUGGGCUCAACCCAGGAACUGCACUCGAAACUUCUCUUCUUGAGUGCCGGAGAGGAAAGCGGAAUACCUGGUGUAGAGGUGAAAUGCGCAGAUAUCCGGAGGAACACCGGUGGCGAAGGCGGCUUCCUGGACCGACACUGACGCUGAGGCGCGAAAGCUAGGGGAGCAAACGGG
rnacentral:rRNA from 1 species